rnacentral:snoRNA from 1 species
UGGCGUCAGUGAUGUCUUAUGACUUACCUACAUUGUUUGACACCUCCUUGAAAAAAGCUGUUAUCUGAGACGCCU